CCCCAACUUCCUCCCGUGAACGCCGCCGCUCCCAUCUCCCUCACCCAGCCCACCCUCCCGCCUUCCCCGAGGACGCCAAGCAGCAGGAGUCCUUGGCUCACCAUCACGAGAAGGCACUCGGGGCCCCUGGAGGAGUCCCACAGCCACGGAGGCUGGUCACUCCCGGUCGCGCGCGCCCUCCGCUUCGCCAUUGCCACGGCCUCCCGCCUGGGCCUCCUCUUCUAUAACCUGUACCCUGUAGUCUCUGGUAGCCGUCGCGAGAUCUUCGAUUCCUCGUUGGGCGGGGGCGCCGAGAUGGCUUGGGGGCUAGAUCGACGAGGAGGUGCGCAUCUUCAUCGAGCUGUCCGUUGAGAGGAGGUGCGCAGGCUGGACUGGCGUCCAUCCCGGCGGCGGAUCGGCGGAGGCGGCAACGCGAGUGGUGUCGACCUGGGCACCGUAUCUUCCUAGAUCGGCGCCGUCUACUAAGAUGAUGGCGACGGGCGAUGGUGCGGAGUCGAUAUGAGGCCAUCUCGCGCGCGUUUGCAGGCUAAAAGCCAGCGCCUGCCAUGGCUCACCGUUAUGCGAGGUCCUCGGCGCCAGCGCAGGCCGCGAAUGCCACUGCGGCGGGCACGACGUCAACGAUGAUGACAUCGUCGUUUGCCAUGGCCGGGAACAAUGUCGCGGCCUUGCGGAGCAAGCCCAGCGCAUUUGCCCAGUCAACAUGCCCGACUAACAGAACACGUCUGGCGCCGGGUCGCCAGCGAACAGAGUGCGUGCGGCGGCCGGCGGGUCGCGACUCGCGAGGUAGAGCGCGGCGAUGCCGAGCUUGGGCGUGCAGCACCUGGCGCGGGGUACCACGCAGUCGUCAGUCGUCACUGGUCAGACGCCUUAGAACGUGUGCCGGUGCACGGUGCCGGGAUUGCAUGUGCGACCAAUGGAGGAGCCAUUGGUUUGCUGUUGGCUGAUUGCGAGAGGCGGGUGUUUGCUAAUCUAUUGCUGAUUUCCAGAGCUGCCAGAAUGCUUUCACAGGCUUCAGCAAACAUUAAUUUCAAUUCUUCCUCCAAUCCUUGGUGAGGAGAUGCUACUUAUACUCGGCAGUUAGGAGGAUGCACUCAUGCAGGAGUGGACUGGCUCCAGGUGGUUGUGAUCAGCGGGGAGGAUGCCGGAGAGGGAUGCGCGGGGCCAGACCUGACGGUGUCGGUAUCGCUGCAGGUGCAGCAGCAUUUCUGCUAUGGCAUCAGGUGCAUCAUGAAGGGCAAGAUCGAUGUGCAUACUCCAUUUGGGAUCAUGGAGCUGUCCAUAAAUAUAAUACUCCGUAGUUGGAUGCACUUGCCUCAAGAAGGACGACGGACACAACAAGCUCUUGAUCUGUCAAAGGAGAAACGCUUGAUUUCUGUCUACAUUUCUUCAAGAAUCCUGACACUAAGAUAAAUAAAGAUUGAUACUGCAUGCAUUUACCUUGGUUGUUGUGCAUGUGACAACAUAUUCACCUAGGAACAUAUGAAGCUGCAACUGUCAAGCUACUGCCCACUGUACCUUUAGUUUUGCAUCUUCCAACUAAACAUGUGAUUUUAUUCGUGUCAUUACAUACAUGUUUUUAUCGUUUGUUCUUGCUGUUUUACAAUCUCACUUCUGAAUCGAAUCUUGCAUGUUAUUUAUGUGAACUUAUAAUAUAUCGCUACAUGAAUUCACCCUAUUCAAUUCAAGCAUAUGCAGACGGACAUGCAAGAAAAGAUAUAGGAAGAGUUUGUGAUUUCAUUUGGAAACCAUACAUAUAUGAUAUGAUAGUGUUAAAUUUUCCAUUGAUUUUUUCUUUCCAAAGGUAUAUUGUGCUUCUCCACAGAGUAUAUUCCAAUGAUGUUACUGACACCAAUAUAUUUGCAUGCAUUGUGCAAUAUGGAAGAAAAACUUGUUUCCUCUCGUUCAUCGGUAAAGUUCAGGCUGGAUUUAUGUGAACUAGAAGCUAGGGUUUUAAGUGCAUGGUGUCAUUGAGAAAUAUUUACAACUGUAUAGUUAGAGUUUUACAAUUUUAUCACUUCUCAGACUUCUUGAGUUGGUGCAUUCCAUGUUCGGCCAAAGCGCAAGAAAAUUAUCGGGCGAAUCAGUUCAUGGAUGUUAAUUUUGUGGGCGUUUUCGGAAAUAAACAACCAACAUAGGCCAGGAGGAAAUGUUGUUGUAAGUUACAAAAACACAGAGAGUUUUACACAACAUCCAUGGAGGGAAUAUCAAAGAGCGUUGAAAACUCAUUGAGUUUUACACAACCAACAUUUGUGACGUUGCAAAGGGAGUAGAGCUUAUCUUUACUAUUAUAUUGCCAGAUGCCCAUGAUUGUUGUCACCGGAUCUCCAACACAGCGCCGACGCUUAUUGUGUUGCGGUAUCCAAGCGUCUGAGGGGUUAUUCCUUUAUAGUGCAAAAAUUGUCAUCUACAUUGAUGUUUUCUCUCCAAUUGUGUUGAACUUGCAUUCUUUAGUGAGCAGUUUUAUAGUGCAAAUAGUUCAGAUCCUAACACUAGGCAUUAUUUUUUGUGAAACCUUGUCAGUUUUAUAAAACUUUAUUCAGCACAUCAUGAUCGUUAA